UACGGAGGGUGCAAGCGUUAUCCGGAUUUACUGGGUUUAAAGGGGUGCGUAGGUGGGUAGGUAAGUCAGUGGUGAAAUCUUCGAGCUUAACUCGGAAACUGCCAUUGAUACUAUUUAUCUUGAAUACUCUGGAGGUAAGCGGAAUAUGUCAUGUAGCGGUGAAAUGCUUAGAUAUGACAUAGAACACCAAUUGCGAAGGCAGCUUACUACAUAGUUAUUGACACUGAGGCACGAAAGCGUGGGGAUCAAACAGGG
rnacentral:rRNA from 1 species